AGAGCGAACGCUGGCGGCAGGCCUAACACAUGCAAGUCGAACGCCCAGCAAUGGGAGUGGCAGACGGGAUAGUAACACGUGGGAACGCGCCCUUCGGUUCGGAAUAACUCAGGGAAACUUGAGCUAAUACCGGAUACGCCCUUACGGGGAAAGAUUUAUUGCCGAAGGAACGGCCCGCGUCGGAUUAGCUAGUUGGUGAGGUAAUGGCUCACCAAGGCGACGAUCCGUAGCUGGUCUGAGAGGAUGACCAGCAUCACUGGGACUGAGACACGGCCCAGACUCCUACGGGAGGCAGCAGUGGGGAAUAUUGGACAAUGGGCGCAAGCCUGAUCCAGCCAUGCCGCGUGGAUGAUGAAGGCCCUAGGGUUGUAAAGUCCUUUAACGGGAGAUAAUGACGGUACCGUAGAAUAAGCCCGGCUAACUUCGUGCCAGCAGCCGC
rnacentral:rRNA from 1 species